UCGAGGCGCGCGCAACAGUUUGAAUUUCUCUUCAUCUGGCAGAUCAGCUAUGGUGAAGAAGACAUUCCAGACGAAUCUGUGAAGCCACAGGAGAGUAAGCUAAAUUACAAACCCUGAAGAAGUCCUGCACCGUUACCAAACUCUG